AAGAUCACGUGAGUAACUAGUGUUGUUAAAAUGUUGCUACAGUAAUCAAUUGCCGCAACACUAGUUCCUCACGUGAUCCUCCACAGUCAUAUGGGGUCUUGUUUUAUACUUUGUAUCACGCGCGAGUUUUACUGUACAACUCAUAGAAAUCAUUCUAGAAUAGAUCAGACGAACGCGAAGAAUUUGGGAAUGGUGAUCCUUUGGUUUCCAUGGAGAAGUUCCAUGUGAGAAGAGUGGAUCGGAGUGCACACCUUGAAAGUAUCUGAUUAAGUUCUCGUUUCUCAAUUCAUCACGCCGGUGUAACCGUUGUAUAAGGUUUAGCCCUAUGUAUCCUUCGAUAUAAAGCAGUUGACACAAUGUAUCAACUAUCAAUAAUUUGAUGGUGUAUCGAGUUAGCCCAAGCAUCGGUAGAGAAUGAACCACAGCAGAAACGUUGAUACGGCGGUAUGGAGCCAGGAUGCUCUGAUGUCUACCAACGUGAGCCUUACAAAUGACAGCAAGCGAAAGAAAAAGAAGAGAAAGCACAAAACAAAAGAUAAAAAGAAGAGUGGUUCGACGAGAAGAGGACCGAGUUCGCCUUCAAACUCCGAUGAUGCAGCAGCAGAUAAACUCACCAACACUGAGCAGCAACAGGUCAUCAAAGGCUCCUCCACACGGUCCAAACCCACCCUGAAGGGCUCCAACAGCAAAAAGACCAAGGCCAGAAGUCUGACCAGCCUCCGCAACAAUAAAUCCCAGCGAGAGGCAAUGAAACACGAGGAAACGUUGACAGGGCCAGACGCUGGUACCCACCAAGCCCCACUGUCAUGGGACCAGGCUGGCCAGAAUGACCCAGCCAGGGAGAGCCUGAGGUGGGAUGGAGUUCUGGAGGAUCCGGUGGCCGAGGCAGAGAGGAUAGAGGUGUACAAGGCCAACCGGAGGAAACGGUACCUGGCCUCACAGCAGGGGGUGAUGGACUACUUGGGCUUGUUCAAGGGACACCUGGAGAGCAGUGGUGCCAUUACACACAAUCUCUAGGUGGGGCUGUUUUCACAUGAAUAAAUCUAUAGGUUUUAUGUGCAGUUACACAGUAUGUAGAGCACCUUCUCUAUCCUGCAGAUGGCAUAGCAGUCUCAAUCUGAGAUGGUGGAACAUUGUAAUUGCAUUUUUACUCAACUAGUGGCAAUUUAAAGGCGGCAUAUCCCUAAUUGAUAACCAAAAGAAAAUCCUGAUAAGACUAUUUUGAAUUUGCUUAUGGCAUUGGAGUACAUAUCAAAUAAUUGUAACACUUCUCAAAUCUGAUAAAACAGUGUGUCUUUAUUUCAAACAAACACUAUAAAAAAGAGCUUUAAAAGCUAAAUCAUUUUACUUCAAUAAGGCCCUUUGGGUAUCUCAAGACAGUUCAGGUCCUCUAGAUGUGUAUCCUUGUAGGACCUUGAGGGAAGUUACCUGUGUUUGGUAGCCUAAUAGUAAUCUAUCAGGCUACCAAAAGGAAUUUAUUAGCAUCAAAUAAAUGCAUAACUAAAUUAAACCUCUGGAAGCAACCAGAAGAGGAUAGGCAAAGAUUAUGGACAGUCCAUAAGGUGUUAGUAAGAACAAGACUUCACUAUUAGGAAAAUACAAACACUUUAUAACUGAAAACAAUAAUGACACAUUUGACAAUCUCUCGCUACUCAUUACGAACUAAUACAAACUUCUUCAAUUCGCAAUGGUCUGUGGGAAGAAAAAUGUCCCAACUUUCAACACAGAACUUGCAACUCUUUUACACUAUGAAAACCAUGACCAUACUUACAGUAGACAAUGUUGGUUUAGGCAAGACUUAGAUGGGGUUUGGUGUUACACCAGGAUCAUACAUCUCUAUACAUGGCUCGGUGUUACACUAUCCAGGAAUAUAUAUUCUGCUUGUGGUAAGUAAUAUUGUGCUACAAAUACACCAUAAUACAAUGAUUUGACAAGCCAUUUUGAAGCCCAGUCAUAGACAGUAAUUUGACAACUCCCCAUGUCUACAAAUGUAAAUAUUUACAAAAAUCACAUGGAAACUCCACUAUUGCCUUGAAUCUUAUAUUGUUGGAUCAUUGUUCAAUGAGCUCCACUGCAAUGGUUAGGCCUAAACACAGAAUGUUGACAGUGAUGGUCCAGACUACACUUCCCUAACAAUCCUUCACUUCCAAAUCUGGUUUCUAAGUUCCUCCAUGGUGAUAGUAUACAGUACACCAUCACCUGUCUCAGUCCACAGUUCAACACUUGGUUAAAAUGAAUCCAACUUUGACAUACCAGAGAACUCUUUACUAGCUACUAAUGGAUCAACACUUUGGUAGAUGGCAGCCUCACUCAGAUGUCCCUGCUAUUUGUUUGAUACUCCAGAUCUAGAGAGAUGGCUUCCAUCUUCUGCCCUCCUGGAGACUGGAAAGUAUCGUAGCCCACAUUUGAGUACCAAUCUAAACUAAUAGACUGUAAUCUGGGUCCAUGUGUGGCGUCGGCCUGGUGGAUGGUUGGGCCCCACAGGGCCCUCUCCCUCAGGCCGUGCCCAGCCUUCCCCUAACCUCAAUGGGGUAGCCUUCUCCGGUCAACAGCCUCCAGCUCCACGCUCGACAAGAAUCUCCUGGCUAGCCGGCGGCUGUCGUAGCUCAGCUCUGUGGUGUAGAUGGUGCGAGCGUGCUUGGGGUAGACAAUGGUGGUGCUCUGGAAAUGCUGGGCCCGCUGGCGAGGCUGGAGGUCUAGCUGGGUCUUGUAGUGUCUCCAGGUGCUGUGAGGGACAGCCAGGAAUGUCUGGCUGCAGUUCUCCAGACCCAGGCCUCUGGGCUGCAUGGCCACGUUGUGGAUAAAGUGACGCUCUGAAUCAUAGUGGACAGACGAUGUGUAUCUAGGAAUGACAACGUUUGGGCAAGUGUCAUUUCACUGCAUGUUCAGCUAGAUAUCGUUUUAGAACUGGAAUGCUGCAAGUUUUCAAGCACUGCAAACCUCCAAGAAAUAGACACUUGGCUACAUGAGGCCUACACAGACUGGCAGAAGUAAAAUAACUUUUUUUUAAAUGCAACAUUUGAUCUGUGGUCCAUCAUAUUUCUUACAUUUACAUUUUACAUUUAAGUCAUUUAUCAGACGCUCUUAUCCAGAGCGACUUACAAAUUGGUGAAUUCACCUUCUGACAUCAGUGGAACAGCCACUUUACAAUAGUGCAUCUAAAUCAUUUAAGGGGGGGGUGAGAAGGAUUGCUUUAUCCUAUCCUAGGUAUUCCUUGAAGAGGAAUAAAAAAAAAAUGUAUUUAUACCAAUAGCGAGGGAGAUGCAGCACACUGCUAAGCCAAUUCCAAACCACACAAACAUUCAUAGCCUACAUGCACUCAUUUAAAACAGCAUACCGUAUUUCCUUGGACGGUAGUGGAUCAAGUUCUAUGCCCUCCCCGUAGGACAACGUGUGCAGCUGAGGAACAGAUCCAAUCGAUAAAAUAGGGACCUGCAAGCAGUCAGCACUCGCAUAAGGAGAACAUAUUUGGUGGAGGUGGCAAAUGUGAUUGGCUUAAGCUCCUCACCCAAUUUAAUAUUGACAUGACCCAUGCAGGGAAACGUAUUCAGAGGCUAUUUCAGAAACAAUGUUUUAACAAUGCAAUAACUUUGUCUUACAAUUUCAUAGCGGGAUUUUAUCAGUUACUGUAAUAAUUGUAGUAAACCGUGCGACAGCCUUUACGUACCAAGGAUGACCCUGUCCUCUCGUCUUCAGACACCGGGCUUAUGGCACCUUUAUCCCCGCAAUCAGUCAGCAGCCAGUGGCUCGGACUGGGGCUGGGGGGUAGUCCGGAGUCCGGGCUGUCAAGUCCCCGCUCGGCUUUGCAACUCAUGUCCAAUGGCUCGUCGUCACAUACAUUCAGCAAGUUUAGUCUGCCCACCAUUGCUUAAAAAAAAAAAAUCAAAAAAUAAAAUGACGACCCCUACUGCGCGACGAGUUUGCAGAACUGUAGGUAAAAUUGAUUUCCAAUUCGUAGAAGCGACUUCCCUUGAAUGCAAUUGAUCCUUCACGUUGGGUAACUUACCAAUGAUCAAGCAAGUUGGCAAUUGGCUUUCAUCAACUUCUCUUGCUUCGCAAUUGGGCUACGGUCUAGACAAAUUGUACUGCAUGCUAUUUAAAUCUUCCAUAAGUCAACGAACAUUUCUCCUCCCCAAUAUGUUUUUGCCCUUCCAAAUAAAGAGAUUCAACAUAAAUCGUUGGCCUUGAAGUUAACAAAAUAGUGAAGUCAAGGGCACUGAAGUAUAACAGAACACAUGAGAAGGCACUGAAGAUGGUCCACGCCUACCUGUCUUCAAACUUCUCUCCCUUCAAAAAGGUUUCAUAGUUUUGUUAGCAGUAAAAUAGAGAAAAGGUAACGCCUUUCAAACGCACCCUCACCUCUGAUUGGAGGAAAAAUGAAAGGCAACAAAACGAAACAUGGGAACUCCUUUUGCCCUCACUCCCUGAAAAAAAUACCCUGGUAAAAGUUCAAACUGAAUUGGACCUAUUCAUUGGGCCGGUUCUGUUGCAAAACAUUUCUUAAACGGGAGCGAACUGAACGAAACCGGCCUCUGUGACACUGAGAGGCCUAGAUGACCUGUCAAUCAUAAUGAGAACAUGCCAGAAGAUACCAACCCUACCAUUAUACUUGAGCUGUACUGGGACGCCGUGAAGCACCAUGGUUGAACAAUAAAGGAGCUGAUUGGCUGACACUGUCAUUCCAAACUGGGCGCAGUGGCUACUGCUAGCUAGCAUGAGGAUGUACAGGGAUGUUUUCUGGGAAAACUAGCGGUAUUUCAAUCUUACACAGUGUCUUAAUGUAACCAUGAUUGCAUUCCGACCCCAGUGCAGCUCAGUGCAAACAAGCAUAAUGGGAGUGUCAGUAAGUUUUCAUUAUUAUUGACAGGUAAUCUAGGCCUGUCAAUGUCAAACAGAGGCCCGGAAUAACAGAAAAUAAAAAAGGUUUAGACAAAUCUUAAACAGAAAUCAAUAUAAUAUUGUACAAUGCAUCCUUGUACAACAGUGUACAUGAGUUCCUCUGUUAUAAAGUAUUGCAACUCUCCCUCACUGUAAUCAAAUCGAUUCAGACACACACAUAUAUAUAUAUAUAUAUACACA